ACGGGUACAGCCCUAUAGUGCAGCAGCUUGAGAACACUCAUUCGCUCCACUUUUCCUCUUGCUUAGGCCCUAUAUGUGGAGCCAUCUGGACGUGGAGAGAGGGAGUCAGCUGCUCCACACACUGAGGCGCGGAGCCUGAAUCCGUCUCAGCUCAUUCUGUGGGAUCAUCUGCGUGGUGGGCUUACACCGUGGAAAAUGCGCUCUCCAUCAUUAGAGCGCCUGUGCAUGCAUGACCAAAGAGGCAGCAGCCUUUCCCUCAGUACUCCAGAGACCUUUAAUUUGCCUGUUGACCCCAGGAUGGAGGUGUUGCCAACUCACAGUGAUACUACCUCACCCACAAGAGACUAAUAAUUCUCAAGUUACUUACAUCAAAAUAUAUAUUUUCAACAUGUUGCAUCAGUGCCUCUAAUUCGUUUUUCUCCUUUAGGGGCUGCCAUUAUAAAGGAGAUACAUAUUUGAUGGCAACUGGCAAGUCUACAAAUGCAUUUUGAUUUUAGUCAGAUUAUUAAUAUCGGACUGUGUUACUAUUAACAGAAAUGUUAAUUAUGAUGUCAAGACAGAGGGAGUCAAGGUGAAAGCUGCACAGCAAUAGCUAAAAAUAAUCCAUGCCAGCCAGAGUACAGUAUGAUCCUGCAGAGGAGUGUUACUGGCAAGGGACCUUUUUGCUGCAACAAAGAGGUGGAAAAGAGGAAGUAAAUGAAUUAGAGUACAAGCCAGAUUUUGUCUUUGUUUCAUCCACACUUGUCCUGUCCCUAUUUUCCAACCUCUCCCUUUUCCUUGCUAUUGGAAGUGCUGCAAAUUGUAUAAUGCUGGUCUUUGUUCUACAGAGUCAAGCCACAUGAAUAGCCGUCCUGAGCACACACAAAAACACACUGACAAACUGAUCAUCUUAAAAAAGCAACGCCCUGGUGCUCACUUGGCCUACUUUCCACGGCAGCACUGGGACGUGGGAAGAGGAAUAGAAUUCAGGGGAGGAUGUUCUUGCACUCUGGGAAACAUUCAGUAUAGCAAGUGUGAUGCACAUAAACAUAGCCUUUGCAUUGUCAACCUUAGACCGUAUUUGCCCCAGAUAACUAGUCCCCAUGUGCUAGACUAUUCUCUUUGACUUUGCAAUUGAAAUCCUGAGAAGAUUAUGCCAAAGCUAAAAGAGGCAAACUCUGGGGUGGGAUUUCAAUUGUCAAUUCCUGUUGGAUUUUAUAGCAUUAUGACAUAUAGUACACCAUCUGUUACGCUUCCCGUGACUAGGUCUACAUCUGCACAAGUGGAGCUUAUUGAUGUGAACAUCAGUACAACUAAGACCUGGUUUUUGAAUGGACAGCAAUUUUCAAUCACCGAUAUUUUUCUCCUGAAUCCCGUUUAACACAGAUGUAUGACUAAGUAGCGGGGUCUCUAGCUUACAAAACACCAGAGCAAAUUAAAAAGGUGCAGGAAAGUAACCACUCCUAACUUUAGCUAAACAGACUUCCUGGAGCGCUAGAUAAUCUGGGGCUUCUAUGUACACCGCCUAACCAAAUGUCGACAUCUGUGAGGGUGUGCAUAAAGAAAAGCUCCUCAGAGAAACGGGGGAUAAUAAUCUUAGUUCCCCUCACCUUCAGCUUGCCCAUAGGGGUUUAAAAGGGAGAUGAAGAAAUCCUAUGUAAACAUGCCAAGUCAAAUUUUCACUUGAAAUGUGACAUAAAGGCAAAGGGCAACCUUGGUGCAUCGCUAAUGUGCUUCCACGCAUGAGUUUUCCAGUGCCCCUGGAUGUAAACAAUUGAUGUAUUCAGUCUGUGGUUUGAACACUGACUCACUGUGCACACUUAAUAUGUUUGAGCAUCUUCUUAGCCAUCACUGUACAUUUAGUGCAUAGGUGAAGAGCCCAAAAGAAGUCAACACAAAGCCUGUACACAAUCAGAAUCUCUGUACUCAAUAGCUGCAUGAAAGUGAGUUUUGCUCUCCUGAGAAACAUACAAAGUUUGAGCAUCUGUUCCAUCAUGUAGUCUUUGUUGAGAAAUUAAAUAUUGAACUGAUCUAGUGUACCAUGAAUGUUUCACUCACAUAGUGAUUAGACAGACUGGAGAGGCAAGACAUCGCAGCACUUUACUCUCUACUUUCAUAUACUGUAUUUGUUGGUCUUGCCUUUAAGUGUUUCACGCGCCAGAUUGUGUUGUUGUUAUGGAAAAUGUUUUUUAAUGUUGCGUCAAUUAUACUUAGCAUGCAUGUGUAACUCGACACAAAAGUAAAUUCAUAUGCAUGCUACGUAUGUGCACAAACGCAAUCAUCCUCAGUCUGAUAAUUGCUGUAUAGUGUAGUCCAGCUGAAGCAAUAUAAUUGGAAAAAAGAGAAAAACAUAAAUUAGAGUUUUGGUUUUAUGAUUCAAUUAUGAACUUGGCAGCAUCUGUUUUUUCAUACUUUUAUGUUAUUGUGAAUAUGGAGAAAAUACUGAUUGGUUUUCUUGUCGCAUCUCAGAAUAAAGGGCGUCUCUUUUAUA